rnacentral:rRNA from 1 species
GCGAACGCUGGCGGCAGGCCUAACACAUGCAAGUCGAACGAACCUUUCGGGGUUAGUGGCGGACGGGUGAGUAACACGUGGGAACGUGCCUUUAGGUUCGGAAUAACUCAGGGAAACUUGUGCUAAUACCGAAUGUGCCCUUCGGGGGAAAGAUUUAUCGCCUUUAGAGCGGCCCGCGUCUGAUUAGCUAGUUGGUUGAGGUAAUGGCUCACCAAGGCGACGAUCAGUAGCUGGCCUGAGAGGAUGAUCAGCCACAUUGGGACUGAGACACGGCCCAAACUCCUACGGGAGGCAGCAGUGGGGAAUCUUGCGCAAUGGGCGAAAGCCUGACGCAGCCAUGCCGCGUGAAUGAUGAAGGUCUUAGGAUUGUAAAAUUCUUUCACCGGGGACGAUAAUGACGGUACCCGGAGAAGAAGCCCCGGCUAACUUCGUG